rnacentral:rRNA from 1 species
CCUACGGGUGGCAGCAGUGGGGAAUAUUGCUCAUUGGGCGAAAGCCUGACGCAGCGACGCCGCGUGAGGGAUGACUGUCUUCUGAUCGUAAACCUCUGUCAGCAGGGAAGAACGGUCACUUUGCUAAUCAGCCGUGAAUUGACGGUACCUGCACAGGAUGCACCGGCUCACUCCGUGCCAGCAGCCUCGUUAAUACGGAGGGUGCGCGCGUUAAUCUGAAUUACUGGGCGGAAAGCGGUCGUAGGCGGGAUGGCCAAUCAAGGGUGAAAUCCCCGCGCUCAACGUGGGAACUGCCUUUGAAACUGGCAAACUGGAGUGUGUGAGAGGAUAGUGGAAUGCGAGGGGUAGGAGUGAAA